rnacentral:tRNA from 1 species
UACAUUUUGGUGUAUGGUGCACAAGAAUUUUUUAUAUUCUGGGUAAUAGUUUAAUUCUAUUAAAUGUAA